CAAUGGCCUAAUAUUCAUUUGUUUUGGUUGAGGUACUGUCGAGUUGAGGAACGUUGGCUAGCAUGAUCUUUGGAUCUUCUUUUUUCCAAAUAAAUUAAAGCCUUGUUUUUGCUGGUGUCCACUAGUGUAGCUUCUCAGUUUGCAUAUCAUAUGAUUUCACUCUUCUAUCCUCUUAGGAAUGUGUGUCCUCAACAGCUUUGCAAUUUUGCUCUCCAUAUUUUCCCACACUGGAGAAAUUGCGGGGGAGAUUCGAGCAAUUUCCCCACAUGCUUGUGAAGAGCAUGCGAUCAUGGGCUCGGUUGUUUGCUAUUUUUCUAAAUGUUCCCUUACAGUAUAUUAGUGAAUGCAGACUAUUAUUUUAUUAAAUGCCCCACGUCCCCCGUUCCUUCUCUCACCCAUCCUGCUUAACUGCUAGUGCUCUCCGCCCAUCCUCCCCAAACUCCCUCCCCCUUAGUGUGGCGGCUUUGCAGAUGUGGCACAUCUGGCUCCAGGAGUGACUCAUUAUUAUUCGCUCUGAUGUUCCACUCCUCUCCCUCUCUCUCUCCUGCUGCCAUGGCAACUGAUGAAUGUUUGGCAGGAAGCCCUAGUCGAGGGAUACAGGGAUGAAUAAGAGCCUAGCGAUGGGUGUUUGUGUGUGUGUGUGUAUGUGUGUGAUAGAGAGAGUGGGAGGAAUGGAAAAAGAGAGAGGGUAUAGAGAAAAAAGGGAGGGAGGGAGAAGGGAGUAAGCUCUCAGUAGUUUGGCUUCGAUCCAGGGCAACCAUAAUGCCUGGCUGAAAUGAGGCCCUUGGCAGAACACCAGGUCUCAGAGAACAAAGAUGUGUGCUUCUAACGCCGGUGACAGGGCCCCGCUUGGCAGCCUCUGCGUUUUCCCAGCAGCCUUUGCCUUGGCAGCCCGCCACCUUUUCCCUCCAGGCCUGCAAAGAGGAUUAGGGUGGGGUGAGGGAGGGAGCGAGGGAGAGAGCGAGCGAGCGAGAGAGGGGAAAAAGAAAGCCUUGUUUUUCUCUUGUCUCCUCACUUUGCCCCUGUGACAUCACCGCCUCGCCUCCGUUUCCAGAUGCACACCGUCCAAAAGUGUUUUUCCCCUCUCUCUCCAAACGCGCCAUUUUAUUUGAGUUGGCCUUCCAUUUUAUAAACAGUGUCGUCAGUCGCUAUAUUGAGGGUAAGCCUGAGCGCCUAAAAUGGCAUCUUUCUCUGUAGUCUGACUAGCUGCACUUGUAAGGACUAGACUACUAGAUCUGCACCAAAUGCCUAUGCAGUUUCCAAGCGUUGACUUGAACGCAAACCCUGCUUUUGUGAAAGUGAUGCAAAAACAUCACACCCCUUCCUAUACAAUAAAGUGCUCGUGCUGUGACAUUUCCAGGAUAUUGCAUCACUCCAUACUGCAACACUGCAUCAAAGAUCAAAGCACUGCAGUCAACGCCGCUUCUCGAGACUGUCGCCGCUUUAAGAAAGCUGCAAUGUCAAUGCUGCAGCACCCAAUGUGUUGUUCUUUUUUCAAUCAGCAUUUGUUACCUCUGCUUAUUGAUCUGCCAAAGAAGCAUUGUGGACAAUCAAUAGGGUAGUACAUUUUCCUUCUUCAUCUCUUUAAGUGGCAUAUGCCUCAGCCGUUCGAACCAUAACAGGCUGUCAGGGUCAGAGAGUGGAUUCAUUGCAGCAAAGCAGGAAGUGAUUUGGCGAUUUAGUGCAUGCACACUCAGCGAGCUGUGGGCAGUUGUCUGAAGCGUAGACCACACUAUUUAUUCACGUCUGUGUGCACACUGUAACCCAGCUUUAAGUGCUAUUUAGGGGAGCAGUGAAGAGGGCUUUAAAUGUGGGAUAUGUUUUCUAUGUAAGGCAAGGGCUUAGAUUGUGUCAAGCUCGGAUGAUUAAGACGAGAGAAAAAAACACGUCUGUAAACAGGAAAUGGUUCAUUACUUAGAAUAUCCUGAUAGGAGUGAUCUCCAUAGUAACCCUUUCCUUCCUGCACUGACAAUAAAAACAUGAAAGUCAAAUCAAAUCAAAUCAAAUUUUAUUUGUCACAUACACAUGGUUAGCAGAUGUUAGUGCGAGUGUAGCGAAAUGCUUGUGCUUCUAGUUCCGACAAUGCAGUAAUAACCAACAAGUAAUCUAGCUAACAAUUCCAAAACUACUACCUUAUAGACACAAGUGUAAGGGGAUAAAGAAUAUGUACAUAAAGAUAUAUGAAUGAGUGAUGGUACAGAGCGGCAUAGGCAAGAUACAGUAGAUGGUAUUGAGUGCAGUAUAUACAUAUGAGAUGAGUAUGUAAACAAAGUGGCAUAGUUAAAGUGGCUAGUGAUACAUGUAUUACAUAAGGAUGCAGUAGAUGAUAUAGAGUACAGUAUAUAAGUAUAAUGAUGAUGGUGAUGAUUUGUUUUCCCUUCCAUUGCGCCACAUUUAAAGUCAAAUGUUGAUGACGAUAAACUAAAGUGUGAUUUCAGGGAAUCGGGAAUAAGUCAUCUUUUGUACAUCUUUUUUUAAUAAUGUUUUUCGGAUGAGUUUACACAGCAUGUGGAUUUUGUGCCUGUCAGAACCAACUGUGACUAAGCAAAAUAGCCAAUAGUGAUAGGUCAGUGCUCCAAGCUUAGUAACAACACAAUGUCAUCGACCCCACUCUAAAAUAAGUCCAUUAGGUCUAUAACUAGCUAAUGGUUUUCAGUUAAUACCAUAGGAAUAGGGCCAUGUUGCAACAACCUCAGCCCACAAGAUGAAUUCCCCUAAAUGGGAGGUUAGGCGCCACUGUAAGCCUACACUUUCUUGGCAACUACCUAAGUCGUCCUCUGACAAAAAUACUACAAAUUUUUUAGAAUGCAUGUCAAUUAAAUGCACACAUUAAAUCAAUUACCUUGGAAAGGAAAUUCCCUUUGGUACUAUAAAGCUAAUCAUUUAUAAGCAUUGGGAGCCAAACAGCUAUUUAUUUGGAACUCUGUCAGUUGCUUCCCGACAGAGGCAAAAGUAAAAGGCCAUUUGUUUUCUUUUUGCUCUCGAGAGCAACAUGCAGCAGCAUGCGCUCAUAACUUCAAAGUACGUGUGCUGUGUACAGUAAUGCUUAAUUCACGAAAAGUACUGUUUAAAAAUUGAAAGGCUUAAACACAUCAAAGAGAAGCCACUACAAAGGCAUUUGUUCAAUUAUUAAACGACUUCCAUGCUGUUAAUUUGCCUCAGUCACAUACUGGAAGGCUUGCGCAUAUAACCACCUAGUUACCGAGUCUGUCUACUGACAGAUUACAGAGGAACAAAAGUCCAUUGACUGAGUCAUAAGGGGGGUUUGCCGAACCGUAAACAUUCCUGGUCAAGGGCAAAUUGAUAAGAUUCAUUAUUUUUUUAAUCAAACAUAUCCUCCCUCCCUAGCUUUGGCAAGCAAAUGCAUGGAGUCAUGUGGUUCAGUUAUUGUCUUUAUUUGUUUUUGCCAUCAUUGGAUACUUUUGCCAAUGGCCAGGAGUCCAUCUGAAAAAAGCUGGACACAGUGCUACAGUGUGACCUCAAUGUCACCUUCUCCAGUCUGCUUUUCCUGGGUUUCUUUCCCAUCGAGCAGACUUCCUCCCAUGUGAAACAGCUAAGCUGAAUAAACUGACUCCUUUGACCCUCUUCCUCGCCAUGAGGCCAUGUCUGCAAAUAUCACAUCUGACUAAAUCCAACCAACUGGGAAACUUUUCAAGGGACCAAAAGUCAUGCAGGCAAGGAAUGGCUGACUUGAAAUAACUGACACUUGACUUUAAGCCAGCAGGUAUAAUGCAUUUAUGACAUGGUCAUAAUGCACGGUAGGACUUGUCAUAUGACACUCUUAUUCAUGGGUUGCACGUUUCAUCACAAUAUUGAUUUGAACGUUCGUUUUAGGAUUGAUGCCCAGCUGAGUGUUCUACUCAUUGCAGUCUCAUUGAAUGCUGAUGAAGAUUUAAUCUAAAGUACAUUACUGUGGCUUGGUAACCCCAUGACAUUUCAAAAGGAGGCAAAGACUUAGUAGGACAAGCUUUUGUCAUCAUUGUGACAUUGGCAGAUUUACUUUAGAUACAGUAUAACUUUGGCUAGCUAAGACUGAGAGGAGAGCACCGACAUUUUAGCUAGCUAAUGUUAGCAUUGCUAUCUAUUUUUAACGAACAAGUCAACUUGACAACAUCAUAAUGAUGGCAAAGUUGUUUUCUACUAAUUAUUUGUCUACUUUAGCAAUGUCAUCGUAUUUCCAAGCCACUAUAGUGUAACAUUGACGAAACAGUCAUUAGGCCCCUGUUCAGAAAGACAUGACUAACCAUUAGUCAGACAUUAAUAUGCCGCGGCAUCUGUAAAACAUUGAUAAGAAUGGCAACGAUGCAAGUGACGGAUGUGCAACCGAUGAAUAAUGUCUUAGUAUCAUAUGUCAUAAUGAUCCUGAGAUGUUGCCAAAAACAACACAUAAAAAAGACAUACAGUAAGAUAUUAGUUAAAAAUCAAAUAUUAUAACGGUAGCUUUAAGUUACCCUAAUUUCUCUUUAACCACUCUUGCCACUCUCUUCCUCGAACCAUUAAGAAGGAAGAGUAAAAGUAAUAAUAGCAGGCUCAUGUCAAGACACUGUGGCAACCUCUGAUUGCGUGACAUGUAAGUCCUCUGUGUUUGUGUGUUAGCCGCUGUUCAAGCUGCCACCAAGUCGGAGCACCUGGGGACGCUGAGCGAUACCAGCGUGCCACAUAAGCCACCAGAGUGCCCUCACCCCCCUCCUUCAUCCCUCCCUCCCUCCCCAUCCCAUCAGCAGGUCUUAAGGUCUUCCAACCUUCGUGACAAGCCACAAUUGAUGCUCAAGUGGAUUGUUAUGCGUGUGUGUGUGUGUGUGCAUGUGUCUGUUACUUUGUGUUUGUGUCUGACUUUGAGUAUGUGUGUGUAAACUGUAAUCACACCGCAUAAGGGGGAAUGUUUGUCUUCACGCCGGCCCAGCUCAAGACAAGGCCACCAGCCUGACUGGGCGAGCGAGACAGGGCAUGUGUGUUGCAGCCAAGAGAGAAGGACGAGACAAGAUGGGCCACGGCCACAUCAAGUCAGCUGUCUGGUCGAUGCAGAUCCACACCUACGUGAUACAGUCAUACAAACCAUUGAGUAAGAGAUGACUGUGUUGCUACUGUUAAUGCUGAGUCAUUGUCAGUGGUUCACUGCUCUCCUGUUGGCCAGUCAUCAUUCCACAGCUAGUUUGUUUACAUUCAGGGGCGUCAUGCACCCCAAAAAAUCUGAGGUGGCAUAAAGUACACGAGGAUGGCUGGGGUAUGGUCCGGAGAAGGGCUAUCCGUAAAUUUGAUAAUUUAGCAUUUUUCAAACACCUGAAACAGCUUUUCUCUGCAAUCUAGAGCCAUAAUCAUUAUGCUUAAUUUGAUGUUCAAAUAUGUUUAUUUUUCGUGAGUAUUAUUCCACAUUUAGUUAUUGCUUUCUUAACAAACAUGCAAGUAGUUAUGCCAGCUAAGAUAGUUAGACAAGAUAGCUACUGUUAAAUUGAUUGAUAGCCCGGAGAUUGGCAACCUGGUUGGGAUAGCUCAGUGGUGUAAAGUACUUAAGUAAAAAUACUUUAAAGUACUACUUAAGUCGUUUUGGGGGGUAUCUGUACUUUACUAUUUAUAUUUUUGACAACUUUUACUUCUCUACAUUCCUAAAGAAAAUAAUGUACUUUUUACUCCAUUCAUAUUCCCUCACAUUCAAAAGUACACUUUACAUUUUGAAUGCUUAAAAUGGUCCAAUUCACACACUUAUCAAGAGAACAUCCCUGUAGAACAUCUCUACUGCCUCUGAUCUACUUCAUUUGUAAAUUAUGUCUGAGUGUUGGAGUGUGCCCCUGGCUAUCCAUACAUUUUAAAAAUUUCAUUUGCUUUAUUUGUCUCAUUUGCUUUAUAUAAUGAAUUUGAAAUGAUUUAUACUUUUACUUUUGAUACUUAAGUAUAUUUUAGCAAUAACAUUUACUUGUCAUACUUAAGUAUAUUUAUAAACAAAUACUUUAAAAGUUUUACUCAAGUAAUAUUUUACUGGAUGACUUCCACUUUUACUUGAGUCAUUUUCUAUUAAAGUAUCUUUACUUUUACUCAAGUAUGACAAUGUGGUACUUUUUCCACCACUGGGAUAGCUAAAGCCAACUUCAUACAAUUGCUAAGUGGCUAGUAGUAUUACAGAGUAGAGGUGGCACCACAGGUCCAGGAGUCCCCAAAAUUCUGGGGUCUGUAGUUUUUCCUGAUCUGGUAACCAACCUAACCAGCUAAAAUGCUGGACCUUAGAUGUUAUGAUUACUCUGUUGUAAAAUGAUUGGAUAUGGGCUAUGAUGGGACCAGAGUUUUUCUAAUCAGGUCACAUGUUUGUUUGUUUUAUCCUGAGAAAAAUUUCUGGCCUUGUUCAUAUGAAUUAUAUUUUCAAGGGAAGGGAAAGGGUAUAUUUAGUCAGUUGCACAGUGGGGUUUUGUACACACAGAGAAAGUAACAUGAUUGGACAAUACAACUCACAGGGCUGAGCUUACUUUAUGCAGGUAUGCAUCAUGUAGUCAUGUCAUAUGCAACUGUAGAUCCAAUUAAAAAUGUACUCAGUC